rnacentral:tRNA from 1 species
GGCCUUCUGCUCUGCGGGGCAUUGACGAAGCUGAUCGGCGAUCGGCUGGCGUCCGCGCGGGCGCUUCGCCCGUUCGCUCUGGGGAAGGCCA